UGGGGAAUAUUGGACAAUGGGCGAAAGCCUGAUCCAGCAAUGCCGCGUGAGUGAUGAAGGCCCUAGGGUUGUAAAGCUCUUUUACCCGGGAAGAUAAUGACUGUACCGGGAGAAUAAGCUCCGGCUAACUCCGUGCCAGCAGCCGCGGUAAUACGGAGGGAGCUAGCGUUGUUCGGAAUUACUGGGCGUAAAGCGCACGUAGGCGGCUUUGCAAGUUAGAGGUGAAAGCCCGGGGCUCAACCCCGGAAUAGCCUUUAAAACUGCAUCGCUUGAAUCCAGGAGAGGUGAGUGGAAUUCCGAGUGUAGAGGUGAAAUUCGUAGAUAUUCGGAAGAACACCAGUGGCGAAGGCGGCUCACUGGACUGGUAUUGACGCUGAGGUGCGAAAGCGUGGGGAGCAAACA
rnacentral:rRNA from 1 species